rnacentral:rRNA from 1 species
GACGAACGCUGGCGGCGUGCCUAAUACAUGCAAGUCGAACGCAUUUUCUUUCAGCGUAGCUUGCUACACCGAAAGAAAAUGAGUGGCGUACCGGGGAGUAACACGUGGGUAACCUGCCCAUCAGCGGGGGAUAACACGUGGAAACAGGUGCUAAUACCGCAUACCUCCAUUUACCGCAUUGUAGAUGGGUGAAAGGCUCUUUUGUGUCACUGAUGGAUGGACCGGCGGUGCAUUAGCUAGUUGGUGGGUUAACGGGCUACUAAGGGUGCGAUGCAUAGCCGGCCUGAGGGGGUGAUCGGCCACACUGGGACUGGGACACGGCCCAGACUCCUACGGGAGGGAGCAGUAGGGAAUCUUCGGCAAUGGGCGCAAGUCUGACCGGGCAACGCCGCGUGAGUGAAGAAGGUUUUCGGAUCGUAAAACUCUGUUGUUAGGGAAGAACAAGGAUGAGAGUGGAAAAUUCAUCCCUUGACGGUAUCUAACCAGAAAGCCACGGCUAACUACGUG